AUUGAACGCUGGCGGCAUGCCUUACACAUGCAAGUCGAACGGCAGCACGGGAGCAAUCCUGGUGGCGAGUGGCGAACGGGUGAGUAAUAUAUCGGAACGUGCCCGGUCGUGGGGGAUAACGUAGCGAAAGCUACGCUAAUACCGCAUACGAUCUACGGAUGAAAGCGGGGGGAUCGCAAGACCUCGCGCGAUUGGAGCGGCCGAUAUCAGAUUAGGUAGUUGGUGAGGUAAAGGCUCACCAAGCCGACGAUCUGUAGCUGGUCUGAGAGGACGACCAGCCACACUGGGACUGAGACACGGCCCAGACUCCUACGGAGGCAGCAGUGGGGAAUUUUGGACAAUGGGCGCAAGCCUGAUCCAGCAAUGCCGCGUGCAGGAUGAAGGCC
rnacentral:rRNA from 1 species